rnacentral:rRNA from 1 species
GAUGAACGCUGGCGGCGUGCCUAAUACAUGCAAGUCGAGCGGAAGGACGCGACGCUUGCUUCUCUGAUGUUAGCGGCGGACGGGUGAGUCACACGUGGAUACCCUCCCUAUAAGACUGGGAUCACUUCGGGAAACCGGAGAUAACACCGGAGAAUAUUUUGAACCGCGGGGGUCAAAAGAGAAAGACGGUCUUGCUGGCACUUAUAGAUGGUUCCGCGCUGGAUUGGCUGGUUGGUAGGGUAACGGCUUACCAAGGCAACGAUGCAUGGCCGACCUGAGAGGGUGAUCGGCCACACUGGAACUGAGACACGGUCCAGACUCCUACGGGAGGCAGCAGUAGGGAAUCUUCCGCAAUGGGCGAAAGCCUGACGGAGCAACGCCGCGUGUGUGAUGAAGGUCUUCGGAUCGUAAAGCUCUUUUAUUAGGGAAGAACAGCUGUGUAAUUAACCGUGCACAUCUUGACGGUACCUAAUCAGAAAGCCACGGCUAACUACGUG